AUGGUCAACACCGAAAUCAGAUUGAUUAUAUUCUUUGCAGCCAAAGAUGGAGAAGCUCUAUACAGUCAGCAAAAACAAGACCAGGAGAUGACUGUGGCUCAGACCAUGAACUCCUUAUUGCCAAAUUCAGACUCGAAGAAAGUAGGGAAAACCACUAGACCAUUCAGGUAUGACCUAAAUCAAAUCCCUGAUGAUUAUACAGUGGAAGUGAGAAAUAGAUUUAAGGGCCUAGAUCUGAUAGAUAGAGUGCCUGAUGAACUAUGGAAUGAGGUUUGUGACAUUGUACAGGAGACAGGGAUCAAGACCAUCCCCGUGGAAAAGAAAUGCAAAAAAGCAAAAUGGCUGUCUGGGGAGGCCUUACAAAUAGCUGUGAAAAGAAGCGAAGCGAAAAGCAAAGGAGAAAAGGAAAGAAAGAAACAUCUGAAUGCAGAGUUCCAAAGAAUAGCAGGAAGAGAUAAGAAAGCCUUCUUCAGCGAUCAAUGCAAAGAAAUAGAGGAAAACAACAGAAUGGGAAAGACUAGAGAUCUCUUCAAGAAAAUCAGAGAUUCCAAAGUAACAUUUCAUGCAAAGAUGGGCUCGAUAAAGGACAGAAAUGGUGUGGACCUAACAGAAGAAGAAGAUAUUAAGAAGAGGUGGCAAGAAUACACAGAAGAACUGUACAAAAAAGAUCUUUACGACCCAGAUAAUCACGAUGGUGUGAUCACUGACCUAGAGCCAGACAUCCUGGAAUGUGAAGUCAAGUGGGCCUUAGAAAGCAUCACUACGAACAAAGCUAGUGGAGGUGAUGGAAUUCCAGUUGAGCUAUUCCAAAUCCUGAAAGAUGAUGCUGUGAAAGUGCUGCACUCAAUAUGCCAGCAAAUUUGGAAAACUCAGCAGUGGCCACAGGACUGGAAAAGGGCAGUUUUCCUUCCAAUCCCAAAGAAAGGCAAUGCCAAAGAAUGCUCAAACUACCGCACAAUUGCACUCAUCUCACACACUAGUAAAGUAAUGCCCAAAAUUCUCCAAGCCAGGCUUCAGCAAUAUGUGAACCGUGAACUUCCUGAUGUUCAAGCUGGUUUUAGAAAAGGCAGAGGAACCAGAGAUCAAAUUAACAACAUCCGCUGGAUCAUGGAAAAAGCAAGAGAGUUCCAGAAAAACAUAUUUCUGCUUUAUUGA
ensembl:lncRNA